CCUACGGGGGGCUGCAGUGGGGAAUAUUGGACAAUGGGGGGAACCCUGAUCCAGCCAUGCCGCGUGUGUGAAGAAGGCCCUCGGGUUGUAAAGCACUUUCAGUGAGGAAGAACGCCUGGUGGUUAAUACCCAUCAGGAAAGACAUCACUCACAGAAGAAGCACCGGCUAACUCCGUGCCAGCAGCCGCGGUAAUACGGAGGGUGCGAGCGUUAAUCGGAAUUACUGGGCGUAAAGCGCGCGUAGGUGGCUUGAUAAGCCGGUUGUGAAAGCCCCGGGCUCAACCUGGGAACGGCAUCCGGGACGGUCGGGGUAGGGGGCAGGAGAGGAAGGUAGACUCCCCGGGGCAGCGGUGAGAUGCGUAGAGAUCGGGAGGAAUACCGGUGGCGAAGGCGGGCCUAUGGACUGACACUGACACUGGGGUGCGAAGGCGUUGUUAGCAAGACGGACCCGGUACGCGAGUGGUA
rnacentral:rRNA from 1 species